GAGAGGUAGUUGAAAAAGAGUU
rnacentral:siRNA from 1 species